rnacentral:rRNA from 1 species
CAGCCGCCGCGGGAAUACGAAGGGUGCAAGCGUUAAUCGGAAUUACUGGGCGUAGAGCGUGCGUAGGCGGUGAGUUAAGUCUGCUGUGAAAUCCCCGGGCUCAACCUGGGAAUGGCAGUGGAUACUGGCUCGCUAGAGUGUGGUAGAGGAUAGUGGAAUUUCCGGUGUAGCAGUGAAAUGCGUAGAGAUCGGAAGGAACAUCUGUGGCGAAGGCGACUAUCUGGGCCAACACUGACACUGAGGCACGAAAGCGUGGGGAGCAAACAGGAUUAGAUACCCCAGUAGUCCCUGUCUCUUAUAC